GAUGAACGCUGGCGGCGUGCCUAAUACAUGCAAGUCGAGCGAACAGACGAGGAGCUUGCUCCUCUGACGUUAGCGGCGGACGGGUGAGUAACACGUGGAUAACCUACCUAUAAGACUGGGAUAACUUCGGGAAACCGGAGCUAAUACCGGAUAAUAUAUUGAACCGCAUGGUUCAAUAGUGAAAGACGGUUUUGCUGUCACUUAUAGAUGGAUCCGCGCCGCAUUAGCUAGUUGGUAAGGUAACGGCAUACCAAGGCGUCGAUGCGUAGCUGACCUGAGAGGGUGAGCGGCCACACUGGAACUGCGACACGGUCCAGACUCCUACGGGAGGCAGCAGUAGGGAAUCUUCCGCAAUGGGCGAAAGCCUGACGGAGCAACGCCGCGUGAGUGAUGAAGGUCUUCGGAUCGUAAAACUCUGUUAUUAGGGAAGAACAAAUGUGUAAGUAACUAUGCACGUCUUGACGGUACCUAAUCAGAAAGCCACGGCUAACUACGUG
rnacentral:rRNA from 1 species